GCCUGGGUGGCUCAGUCAGUUAAGCGUCUGACUUCAGCUCAGGUCAUGAUCUCACAGUUCAUGAGUUCAAUUCCCACAUCAGGCC
rnacentral:tRNA from 1 species